AUUGAACGCUGGCGGCAUGCCUUACACAUGCAAGUCGAACGGCAGCGGACCUUCGGGUGCCGGCGAGUGGCGAACGGGUGAGUAAUAUAUCGGAACGUACCUUUCAGUGGGGGAUAACGUAGCGAAAGUUACGCUAAUACCGCAUAUUCUGUGAGCAGGAAAGCAGGGGAUCGCAAGACCUUGCGCUGAUUGAGCGGCCGAUAUCAGAUUAGCUAGUUGGUGAGGUAAAGGCUCACCAAGGCGACGAUCUGUAGCGGGUCUGAGAGGAUGAUCCGCCACACUGGAACUGAGACACGGUCCAGACUCCUACGGGAGGCAGCAGUGGGGAAUUUUGGACGAAUGGGCGGCAAGCCUGAUCC
rnacentral:rRNA from 1 species